CCUACGGGCGGCUGCAGUGGGGAAUAUUGCACAAUGGGCGCAAGCCUGAUGCAGCCAUGCCGCGCGUGUGAAGAAGGCCUUCGGGUUGUAAAGCACUUUCAGCGGGGAGGAAGGCGGUGAGGUUAAUAACCUCAUCGAUUGACGUUACCCGCAGAAGAAGCACCGGCUAACUCCGUGCCAGCAGCCGCGGUAAUACGGAGGGUGCAAGCGUUAAUCGGAAUUACUGGGCGUAAAGCGCACGCAGGCGGUCUGUCAAGUCGGAUGUGAAAUCCCCGGGCUCAACCUGGGAACUGCAUUCGAAACUGGCAGGCUAGAGUCUUGUAGAGGGGGGUAGAAUUCCAGGUGUAGCGGUGAAAUGCGUAGAGAUCUGGAGGAAUACCGGUGGCGAAGGCGGCCCCCUGGACAAAGACUGACGCUCAGGUGCGAAAGCGUGGGGAGCAAACAGGAUUAGAUACCCGGGUAGUC
rnacentral:rRNA from 1 species